CUCUAACCUCAGCGCUAUCUUCCCCAUUUUUCGCUUCCUCUUGACAAGGGCAGAGGCCCCUUCAAAACCAAGGGCCCCUUCUGUAGGGAACGGCACUGCGCCUCUUGAACCCGGGACCGACAAAGAUCCUCGACAAGGAAGGAAUGACCGCUGGCUCCAAACACAGGGCUUCCCUCCGUGUAUUUGACGAUCUGAUCCCACACUCCCUCUGCACCAGAGUGUCAGUUUGUCAAAUAUACAAAGGGCGGCCUCUGACCCACCACAAGGACCCUGAACCCUUGGCCGAAACCAAACUGGACAACUGGACGUCUUCCACCAGAGGCGCAGCCGACUCUACGGACUCCUGAGUUCUGUCUUUUGACCCAUUUUCAAUCGGCAAUUGCUUCCUUACUCAUGCCAUUGCUCUCCCAUGAGUUCCAGGAGCCGCACAUGACUUUGCAACUCCUUCUUCUUUAGCCUCCUCUGCCAAAGAAGAAUGCUGGUGCUGCACCAAAUUACAUCUCCCAAACUGCAAAGGCAGUUCAGACUCCUUUUGCAGCAUCUAUUUGUAGUAUUUAUUUAUAUUCUGUCUUUCCCACCCCGAAGGGGACUCAGGGCGGAUCCCAGAACAUAUGUAUCGUAAACAUUCAAUGCCAAUUAUACAAUGACAAGACAGACAACAGAUAGAGGUAUAUUUAGGCUUUCCCAUCUUUCGGCAUCUUUGGAGGCUGUGCUUGGUUCCGGCCACCGGAGGGUGCUGUUGCUCCAUCUCCUUUGUUUGUAAACUUCCUUCUUUUUCUGAUCCAGACGCUGUGCAUAAAUACUUCCCCGCUUUAAUGCAGUUCCUAUUUAUCUACUCACAUUUGUUUUUGAACUGCUAGGUAGGCAGAAGCUGGGCUAAAGUUCAGGCGCUCACCCUGACCAGGCUUCAAACUGCCAACCUUCCAGUUUGCAAGAUUUAUUGCAGCUUGGUGAUUAACUUGCUGUGCUAAAGCCCAGCCCAUCAUUCCAUAGCAACUAAGCUGCUGAAUUAAUGCAGUUUAAAAAAAUACAUGCUAUGGAAUCCCAGCUCUCAUCGGCAGAGAAGGAGAAAGGCCUUAUAAAACUACAACUUCCAAGAUUCAAUAGCAUAGAGCCAUAGCAUAGCCACCUUGAGUCUCCACGGGAAGAAAAGCAGAGUAUAAAUAAAGUUAAUAAUAAUUUUA